rnacentral:rRNA from 1 species
UACGUAGGGGGCGAGCGUUGUCCGGAUUUACUGGGCGUAAAGCGCGCGUAGGCGGAGCGUUAAGUCCGGUCUGAAAGCCCCCGGCUCAACCGGGGAAGGUGGCUGGAAACUGGCGCACUGGAGGGCGGCAGAGGCGUGUGGAAUUCCUGGUGUAGCGGUGAAAUGCGUAGAGAUCAGGAGGAACACCCGUGGCGAAGGCGGCACGCUGGGCCGGCCCUGACGCUGAGGCGCGAAAGCCAGGGGAGCGAACGGG